UACAGAGGUCCCAAGCGUUGCUCGGAUUCACUGGGCGUAAAGGGUGCGUAGGCGGCCGGGUAAGUCUGAUGUGAAAUCUCACAGCUUAACUGUGAAACUGCAUUGGAUACUAUCCGGCUCGAGGAAUGGAGGGGAGACUGGAAUACUUGGUGUAGCAGUGAAAUGCGUAGAUAUCAAGUGGAACACCAGUGGCGAAGGCGAGUCUCUGGACAUUUCCUGACGCUGAGGCACGAAAGCCAGGGGAGCAAACGGG
rnacentral:rRNA from 1 species